rnacentral:rRNA from 1 species
GACGAACGCUGGCGGCGUGCUUAACACAUGCAAGUCGAACGGAAAGGCCCUGCUUUUGUGGGGUGCUCGAGUGGCGAACGGGUGAGUAACACGUGAGUAACCUGCCCUUGACUUUGGGAUAACUUCAGGAAACUGGGGCUAAUACCGGAUAGGAGCUCCUGCUGCAUGGUGGGGGUUGGAAAGUUUCGGCGGUUGGGGAUGGACUCGCGGCUUAUCAGCUUGUUGGUGGGGUAGUGGCUUACCAAGGCUUUGACGGGUAGCCGGCCUGAGAGGGUGACCAGCCACAUUGGGACUGAGAUACGGCCCAGACUCCUACGGGAGGCAGCAGUGGGAAAUAUUGCACAAUGGGCGGAAGCCUGAUGCAGCAACGCCGCGUGCGGGAUGACGGCCUUCGGGUUGUAAACCGCUUUCGCCUGUGACGAAGCGUGAGUGACGGUAAUGGGUAAAGAAGCACCGGCUAACUACGUG